GUGGGGAAUAUUGCGCAAUGGGGGAAACCCUGACGCAGCGACGCCGUGUGAGGGAAGAAGGCUUUCGGGUCGUAAACCUCUGUCAGAAAGGAAGAACCUCCCAAGUCCGAAUAGGGCUUGGGACUGACGGUACUUUCAAAGGAAGCACCGGCUAACUCCGUGCCAGCAGCCGCGGUAAUACGGAGGGUGCAAGCGUUAAUCGGAAUCACUGGGCGUAAAGCGCGCGUAGGCCGCUUUGUAAGUAGGACGUGAAAGCCCUCGGCUCAAGCGGGGAACUGCGUUCGAUACUGCGAGGCUUGAGUCCUGGAGAGGGUAGCGGAAUUCCGGGUGUAGGAGUGAAAUCCGUAGAUAUCCGGAGGAACACCGGUGGCGAAGGCGGCCACCUGGACAGGUACUGACGCUGAGGAGCGAAAGCGUGGGGAGCAAACAGGAUUAGAAACCCCGGUAGUCC
rnacentral:rRNA from 1 species